AGGACGAACGCUGGCGGCGUGCUUAACACAUGCAAGUCGAGCGGAAAGGCCCUUCGGGGUACUCGAGCGGCGAACGGGUGAGUAACACGUGAGCAACCUGCCCUUAGCUUCGGGAUAGCUCCGGGAAACCGGAAUUAAUACCGGAUAUGACUAUGGCCGACAUCAGCCAUGGUGGAAAGUUUUUCGGCUAGGGAUGGACUCGCGGCCUAUCAGCUAGUUGGUGAGGUAACGGCUCACCAAGGCGACGACGGGUAGCCGGCCUGAGAGGGCGACCGGCCACACUGGGACUGAGACACGGCCCAGACUCCUACGGGAGGCAGCAGUGGGGAAUAUUGCGCAAUGGGCGAAAGCCUGACGCAGCGACGCCGCGUGGGGGAUGAAUGCCUUCGGGUUGUAACCCUUUCAGCAGGACGAAGCGAAAGUGACGGUACCUGCAGAAGAAGCGCCGGCUAACUACGUGCCAGCAGCCGC
rnacentral:rRNA from 1 species